AAAUGUAAUCUAAAUAAUAUACUGAAUUCGUUUAGUUAGAAAUAUAAAAUACCAAUAACAUGGCGUAUAAGAAUGUAAGAAGUGUUUUCAGAGUGGCCGUGCUCUUUGAUUACAAAUAACAGCUGUUAAUAGUUGAUUAGUGAUAAUGCUUUGCGGUGAGUACCUUCUUUGUAGCGGUGUUGAUGGCAGGCCUGGGCAGCAAGACUGGCGUUGAUGAUUUUUCCAUGGCAAGCUUUAAAUGGAAAUUUGAGUGCAGCAACAGUCCAGUGAGAAGGAGCGCAGCCGUCAUCGUUAGGUGCGUCCUAGGAGUAUGCCGAAUUCUUCUUCUGAUGGGGUCGUCCAGGUCCAGAAGGUGCAGAGCAGAGGUGGUGUUUUUUACAGGGCAUAAGGCAAGAACGGGCAGCAGCCACGGCAGCAGCAGGAGUAGCGGUCAUCUUGUGGCCAUGUGUUCCAGUAUAUAAGGAGCAGGUGGCAGUGGUAAAGGUCCCUCAUCGUCCUUCCAAAGGUGCAGAGCAGAAGUGAUCUUUUUGCAGAGUACAAGGCAAGUCGUUGAAGAAGCGGUCGUCGAGAUUUAAAUUGUUGUAGAUUUUUCUCAUCAGGGCAAGAACGGGAAGCAAAAGCAGCAGUCUCGGCAGCAUCAGAAGUAGCAGUCAUUUUGUGGCAUCGUGUUCCAGAAUUUAAGGAGUGGGUGGCAGCAACAGCAUGUUCCUCUUCAUCCUUCCAAAUGGCAGCAAUAAAGACGCUCUACUGUGGACACAAAAAAGGGAACUCGUCGGCUGUCUCUGAAAGGAAUGAUAAGAAGAAUUAGUAGUGGUGGCCAUGGUUUUUGGGACCACCAUAGAUAUAUCUAUAUCAUUUAAAUCAAACAAUUCUUCUUCCAGACGCAGUUUCAGCCUUAAAUGGCCAGCAUCAAGCUGCUGUUCUGGAGUUGGUGGCUGGAUUUCGUGCGGCAGUAGCGGGCUCAUAAUAAGCCUCUGGAUAUACUCUGGCUGGAAACGGAUCUGUUGAGCAGCAUCUCAUCGACUGAUUCGUGCGUUUCUGACAUCAGGAGACAUGGAAUUAAUAUAGGUCUUUACCGAGGCGAAUCAACGUGGGAACUUCAUGCUGCUGCUGUCCUGGCUGUUGGAGGAGAAGCUGUUGCAUGGGAAUAAAGUGCAUCUCUAUCUGUUUCUUAUAAAUUGGAAGAUCCUCGUUGUUAGUAAUAAACAAAUUUGUUAGUA